CAGAGUAUUUCCAUGGCAAUCCACAUAGCAUAGGACCCAGGCUCUCUCUAAUAUUAAAACACUGGUUCUUGGAAUCUCAAGUGGUCACUGAAGAUACCUGGCAUCCAGAGGCUCCACAUUGGAAAGGCCCAGCUCAAUGCUUCAGCAGGUGCCAGCUCAGAACCUUAGCCAGCAUUCCAGCUGUCCUCACCGUGCCAACUGUGUGAGAACCUACCCUGUUCUAGCCCAGGGCCACAGAGUAGCCACUGUUGAUGGCACCCAGAAUGGACGAAUCAAGCAGGCUGAGGCCUGUUGAGUUACUGACCCAGAGAAAGAAGAGGCUCACAGCAUUCUUGGCACCAUUGGGGGAGUUUGGAAGUCUCUCUAAACACUGCAUUCAGGACAGUGUGCACUCAAGGUUAUCACUCUACAACUGGUCCCACGUCUGGAUCUUUGGAUCAAGCACCUGAGCAACCUGCCCUGCAGGUCUUCCCCAGAGUUUAUCAGCUUGGCAUCGUGCUAUCUGGGAGAUGAAGAGUAAUCAUUUGGUCAGACUUCCCAGUGCACUCCCUCUGUAGGCCAUGGAGAAGUAUUUAUUUCUUGGGGGUUGGGUCGGCUCCCAAGCUUCCUGUGUCGGCUUACUAGAUGCCUGCAUUCCUGCUGGUUCCAGUUUGAAGUCAGGCUGGAAUGGGAAUGUCUCUGAAGUAGCAUCAGAACUCGGAUUUGGAAGAGAGGUGAUGGUUUCCAUGCAAGGGUAGUUUACCAAGAUCUGGGUUUUCU
rnacentral:lncRNA from 1 species